GAAACACAGUACAUAAAACCACUGGUUACCAGAUCACUGGUACUGAAGUAAAGUAUCCUUAUAGCUAAUGGUUACUACAUAUGAUCAUCUUUAAAACAGGCAGAUUAAAAAUACACAGUCACAUGAGAUUGGCCUUCUUUGGUCUUUGUUUUUGGAUAAUAGAACUGAACACAACAAGUGUACCAUUGGUGAAGUCAAUACAAUUCCAAAAAUGUUACACAAUUUUUUUUUACAUUGAUUUACAUAUGGUUCUUUGUCAUUGAUGUUCUUCCACAGAUAUUUCUUACAGAAGUCCUUGGAAAUAAUGUCCAUUUUUAAGUUUUCCAAUUAAAAGUCACUUCAUUUGUUGUUAAAGGUUAUCCUACUUGUCCAAGGGGAAUAAGAUCAAUCAAUCAACAAGAUCUGAUAUCAAUCACUGCUACUUCUUGGAGUCUGAUGCCACAAUUAAAGAAAUUCUGAACUUUUAACUCUUUUUUUUUCACCAAGACAGUGAAAACAGUAUACUCCAAAUAUAGCAGCAAUGAAGGAGAUAAAAUGAGCUGCUUGGUACCUUAGCAAUUAUUAUAGAUGUUGGAACCCAUUCUGUUGUUCUCCCAAACCAGAUUGGGCAACUCUCUGCCAAGGGUGCAGGUCAUAGUUGGAGAAUCUGCUUUUUCAAUCCUGUACUGAAAUUCAAGUCAUGUCACAUUCAAUGAAGGAGAAAAGUUACCUAGAAAUUCUUGUUGGCCUCUGCUGAUCUUAAUAAGAGCCUCAUUUUAUUAUUGUUCUGAUGCUUCUAUUUUUCUUCACUUAUGACAUUUAAAAAAUCCUUAAAAAAUCUACUGGUGUAAUAAUGUAUGACAAAGACCUUUUUAAAAUUCAAUAAAUAUUUAUUCAGCGCUCACUAUGUGCAAAGCACUGUACUAAAGAGUCAUGAGACAUACAACAAUGACCAGGACAGAACCCUAAACCCAAUAAGCUUACAGCCCUAAGAAAAAGACAAAUCCUCAGACAUACUAUUUCCUCCAAGAAGCGUUCCCAGGCAUCCUUCUUUCCUAAAGUGAACUCUCCACCUCAAAUUUCUCUCUGCUUACAACUUUCCUUUACAUUCAUCUGACUCUUCCUUGUAUAACAGUUCUUUGUGGACUUCUUUUUCUUCACAAAAGACUGUAAACUCCUUGGGAACAUCUAUGUCACAUUCACCUUUAUAUCUCUAACAUCUAGCACAACAUAGAUGCUUAAUAAAUUACUAGAGAUGAAUGUUGCCAUCAUAGCCAACACUAUUGAGAUAGCCAAUGUAUUCCAUACUUCCAAAGAUCAAACUCUCAACUGAAAUUCACCUGGCUUAAACGCUUAACAAAUUAACACUACUCUGGAGAAAACCGCAUGCAAAAUGUUAUAGAUUUUGAAAUGGAAGACAAAAACUACAAUCAUGGGUCAAGAAACAGAUUUGGAGAACAGAUCCCACAUUCAUCUCAUAACUGCUACACACUUUAAGUGAAUUCCCUGAAUUUUCUUCCUUCUGGUUAUCUAAGGACUAAAAGAUUUGGACUACAUGUUAAAAAAAUAUUGUUUUACAGCUAUAGUUCAGCCCUUUUUAACAUUUUAAUGCUUCACCUACCUCCAUUACAGCCCCAUUCUGAUGCCUUAUUGUGACAUGGAGGAAACACUGAGUUCUCAAAAAUUAGGCCAAAUGCCAAAAUCUGGUAGGAACUACCAAACUGGAAAGGCUUAGAGAACAGAUCUAACGAGACACUGUGUCUGUCAUUUAAAGACCAGACUAGUUAAGUUCAGAGAGCUUCAUCAUCAGAAGAUUGACUACCAGGAUGGGUUUUUUUGUUUGUUUGUUGUUCUUUUUUACCCCAGCCACAGCAACUCAUGAAACAGCAUUGCUAGCUGGAAGGGUUCUGAUCUGCCUCGGUUGUAGGAACCUCCACACUGAUGAAAUCACAGGUCCUUUGAAGUACAGCUAUGAUCCAAGCAAUGAGACGUAUUUUAAACAGGCAAGAGUUCAGUUUAAAAGCCCCAAUGUCAGUGUUGAAAAUGCUCUUAAUUCUUGCUUUCACUGACUUAAUGAGCCACCUGUGCGGCUGACUGACCCUGCAAGGAAAUCCUACUCAGGAUAAUCCAGGAGGAAUCAUGCACAGUAUUCCUUGUGGUUCACUAUUCUGUUUUAUUUCUUAAUAUGUUAAAGGGAAAUAGGGGCUAGAAGCAAGAGCUCCUCCAAUAUGUACAUCUUAGCCUGUUAAAGAAGAGUGGUAAGACUCAUUCAUUGUUCUGAACGUGUCUCAAGGGAAUUAGGUUGGCUGUCUUCAAUACUCUUUCCAGAAGAAGAAAUGGACCAAAGUGUCAGUGUGUGGUUUAUAGCUCUUAAAGCUUCCCUCGCUUGAGCUGCAUGAGUGGUAACCCCAAUAACUGGCCACCACUCUGUGACUCUUACUGGGGAGAAGACUUAGAGAUUAGAAACGAGGCAGAUCAGUGCUUUUUCCCUUCCUAGGUUGAAAAGUCAAAAGUAGGUACUAUCUAAUGGUUUCCUUGACAUCAUUAGGAAGUGCUUGUAUCUCUACAAAGAGAUUUGGCUUGUGUCUGCACAAUGUCAAAAUCAUCAGAUGAUUCGGCUAUUUCAGUCAAAAAACUAGUCAGUUUGGUGGUGAUGAUGAUGACAGAAUCAUUUAAAUCAGCUUAGUAAGAUCACAGAAUGUUAAAGCUAGAACAGACCACAGGGAUAAUCUAAUCCAAACUUCCUCAUUUUAUAAAUGAGGAAAUGUAGUCCAGAGAGAAGAAGAGAUUUGCCAGUCUCACAGCCAGUAAGGGUCAGACCCAGAUUUUUAAAUUUCUGGUCAAUCAUUUUUUCCACUCCACUAUAUGUGACAAUCAAAAUAGUUUCUACAUAGCUUAUCUGUUUGACUGACUUUUCAUCUGGUUGAUUAAUAUAUGGAGACAUGGGCCUCGGAGAGGUGUUUCUCAUAGUCUCAGAUUUGUACACUCCAUGUUUCUGAAGACGUCAAUCACAGGGCAUCUAUCCUGGGGAUGGACUACUAACUAGACUGAGGUCAUGAACAUUAGCCAUUAAAAUAGAAGACCUCUUCUGGCCUACUUUGCUUGCAUAGUUAACAUUUAUCAAGGCAUUAAACUAUAAAAGUGCCAUUGAAUUUCAACUUCUGGGAGAGCACUGUCACUUUCUUAUUUGAUACAUUUAGCUCAAUUAUCUAAUUUACAUGAAUUUAUUGUAGUCUCUAUUAGCCAAAUGCAAAAAUAUGGAAUUAUUCUUAUGAAAAAGGAUUAAUUUAAUCUCAUUGUCUUCAGCCCUGAAGUUGGUUUUUAGUUUUAGAAGAUGUUUCAGACUAUGGACAUUGACAAUACUCCUUCCCAGCUGAUGACUAAUAAAAUGGCACCCCAACAUUCAUAAUAAUCAACAGAUUAAAACCCUAAAGGAUACAAAGCUCUUCCAUGUCUUAUCUGACUUUUCAGUCACAUCCCAGGCAAAAGUUCUAACUUCCAAACUUGCCUUCUAGUAUGGCAGAAAACCAGCUUAGAAGAGAACCUGGUUUGGAUUUUCAGUGGGUUGCAAAUCUUUACAAAUUACAGGUGAAUAUUAGGCAUUGAAGUUGCAUCACUACAUAUUAGAUACAUUUUUUUUUCUGUUACACUCACAAAUUAGGUAACAAGACCUGCUGGUAUGGAAGAGUGGGCCAACAAUACAUAUAAAAGUCCCGGUCCAGUAUGAGUAUGAAAAGCCAUGCCAGCAAUGAUAGAAUUUAAUGGGGUUGAUAGUGCUACAAUUCCUAUCAAAUUAGGGAUAGGUCAUGUGAAAUUGUCCACAGUGAAUGAUUUUCCAGUCUGAUUCCACUAUGCAGAUGCUUCUUGCCUCAACCACUGUCAACUGCAUGAAUAAAUAUAGUUAUACAGAAAGAGGAAAAGGGAGAAAGAAGAGGGAGAAACUGCAAAAGUGGUUAUUAAAGAGGCAGGAAGAAAUUCUUAUUUCCACUAUGAAAUGUUUCAGAGAAAUCAAGGAGAUUAAUUCAUGCACAAAAACUUAACUUUGUUUUUAGUUACUGGAGCAGUUUUGUUAUGUUGGAAAUUUGUUACUCAGUAAUAGUAAAGAAGGUGCACACAUACACAGAGCAUCUAACACAUAGAAACAGUCAACUCCUAGUAGCCUGAGGCCUUUUGAAAAUGUUGGGGGAUUUAGUUUCUCCCACUAUAUUAGGGCAGACCAUUGUCUCAUAGGAAUGAACAGCAUCUGGCUAUUUUGGGAACAGUAGUACAAACAGAAAAACAAUAUUAUUUAAGAGAUUCUAGUUAUGCUAACUAUUGGUAGCAAAACUGAAAAUAUAGAGUAUGUAAAAGACUCAAAAAGCUUUCUGACAAGUUUGCUGUAUUUGAGAGAAAAUCCAAAAGGUAUAUUGAAAAAAAAGUUCCAAUAAAUAUUAACCUAAUUAUUAAAAGACUAUAAGACAUAACAGCACCUCCUUGCUUUAGGUGAGAUUUCACAGUUUUACUGAAAUUAAAUACUAUGGGCUUCAUAUGUUCGAAAGCCAAGGGAAAAAAUUUCUACCUUAUUCAACCAAUAGUCUUAGUCUGGGAAAUCUAUUUGGAGAAGUCCUACUAUAAAGGGAAUGGAUGCUUCAAUGUAAUGCUUCGAGGUAAUCCCCAACUCAAACCAGGAUUCAAUCUAAGGAGGGGAUUUCUUUACAAGGCCACAAAUGUUUUUUGUAUUUCUUUUAAAAUUUCAGACAAUCUUAUAUGGUUUUCUGUGUUGGAAAAAAAAGUCCUUGGGAGCAGUCCCUAUUGGUGCCCAUGGCCUCAGUAAAGAGACCUGAGGUCCACUAUGUGAACUGCCAGGCUGCCUGUAUCCAAAAGCCUCUUAGGAGAACCCACACCUGAACAAGAUCCAGGGCACACUCAGGGCAUACCUUCGAGGUAACAGUGGUUUUAGGUGGGCAGCCUGUAAAAUACUGCAGCUGUCAGAUCUUCUGCAGGAAGUCCUUCCUCAAUGAGUAGUGAUAGAAACGUGACUCAAAUUAGGUCUCAAGUGAUGGCACUAACUUGUGUUCCCCACCCCCCAAAGGAACAGGAUGGUGAUGAAUAAAAGGAAUAAAAGGAAAUCAAAUAAAUGGAGUGUUUGUGCUACUUAAACAAUAAUAGGUUUUACUGAUACAGGUGCUUGGAAAACCAAUGAAGACCACUUAUGGUAUGCACUGAAUACUUAUGGUAUGUGUUGAAUUACUGUUUGUAAUGGGAAAGUCCUUCCUGCAGGCACUGUAUGUGAAGGCACACCCAUGACAGACAAUAGCACCAGAGACAAGGUGAACUACAGAGGCAUGAAUCCAACUGUCCCCAUGCUACAGAUUGUAGGAAGAGCCCAAGAGGCAGGCAGUCUGAGGAGCACCGCCCAACUGGCCAAUGGUGGGGGUGCAAAUUUCUCUUGAACGUGGCACAGAUGGGGUAGUUCAUACACAUUGGUUUUGCCUAAGAAGCACCCAUCAAGGUUUAGCACCCAUCGAUGUUAAGAAGCACCCAUAGAACAUGGUGCAUAGUAAAAGGUAAAAGACAGGAGAUAGGUCAUCAAAUUCCUAAUCACAGUCAGACCAUUAAGAGAAGAAGGUAAACGGGGCGGGGUGGGGGUGGGGUGGGGUUGAGAAAAAGCCUUCUAGGAAAGCUCAGGCUGUGCCCAUAGAAGCCUAGACAGCAUUUCCCUAGAAAAGAGAUGGAUGAGAGGGAUGUCUGAGAGUCUGCCUCAACAAGCCAUCCCUGAGGGGAGAUGCAAUUUACAUUUUGAGAAAGUCCAGAUGAGUCCCUUUAGUCAUCUGAGCUUUCCUCUUCCACACAGGGAUGUGGAAGAGGAUAUAAUUUUCUACUCCACAUUAGCCUUGGGGAUGGGAUCAAAGCCCUAAGACCAAGCUCCAUGGGAGCAGUGUGAGAAAACUGCUGGGGCCUGAAGAUUUGGAAUCCACAACAAUCAAGCAAGGGAAGCUCCAGAGGCCAAAAGGCUAGUUUGGCUUCUUGUCAGCACAUUUGGGAAAUCAUUUACGGGGCCCUCAUAUGGAUAAAGUCCACAGAUAACAACAGAAAAGUCUAGUUAAGCUAUCAUUUUUCUCUAAUUUAACUGAGUACAAAUCUAUGAUAUAGAAGCAGCAUGUCACAUCUAAGGCACAUGUACAUUAUGCCACCAUCUCAAUGAAAAGACCACUUUCUGAGAUCUUUAACAAAAUGCAGCAAUUGUGACAGAAUGAAUAAACAUAUCUAAAGUGACCACCUUCUGCAUGAACCGCCUUUCCCACCCCCCAGAACACUAAGCAUCUUGAAGAUUUAAUAUUUGUGUCAUCAGCAAUAGAGAGAUCAUUUGAACACAUGGGGCAGAGCUUUAAAAACCUACAGGAUUUUUGUCUAGAACUUCAGAGUUCAACAAAUGCCCUAUUUUAGGGUGAAAACAAUUAUAAAUCUGAGAAUGAUGCACGGCAUCCAUGAGCAAUUUUUCUUUCUUAAUAAUUUUGAAGUAGUGUCAUUAACUACGACAUAUAUUGUAGGUUUACAUUUCUAACGAGAAAUAACAACAGAUUGAAUAUUUUCUUUCCUAUCACAAGUGAUAACCAGUGUUUGAUAUUUUACAUUUUCUUCCAAGAAAUAUCAGUCUAUCAACAUUUUAAAAUAAGAUGUUUGUGUUAAUAAUUAUCAGUAAAACUUUAAAUCAAAAAAUGAUUCCGAAUUUAGAGACUGAGUACUUCAGGGUCUUCUGACAAACAAAUUAUUAAAACAGAGACCAGGUGAGGCCUUAAAAAUAGACAAUAUAUUGUAUUUGAAACAAGAUUGCACUUUGCUUUUUUUUUUGAAUGAAUAUAUCAGAACUGCAUUAUGAUUUCAUCAUUUCUUCUUUUACUUAACAUGCUGACAUAUCCAGCUAUCCCCAUGUGAAUUUUUUGGUGUUCUAGUUUAAGGAAGAAAAAUCAUAUCUGUUUUGUUUGUUUGUUUUGUUUAGCAUAUAUGUCUUUCUACCUCAAUAAACUAGAUCUUUAAAAAUAAAAAUUAAAACCCUCUGACAGUAAUAUUUAUCCCAAUGAUGGAUAAAUAAUUCUUCAGAGUUGAAGUGUUGCUAGUUCUAUUAGAAAAU
rnacentral:lncRNA from 1 species